CCCGCUGUAGCUCAAUCUGGCAGAGCACCUGACUGUAGAUCAGGGUGUUGCCAGUUCAAAUCUGGCCAGCGGGA
rnacentral:tRNA from 1 species